rnacentral:pre_miRNA from 1 species
AGUGCAAUUGCUGAGUACAAUGUUAAACUUUAUGUUUAACAUUUUUGAAGAGCUGUCAGACUGUUUUACUAAGUAGUUGCACCAUUUAACAUUCCUAACAGCAAU